rnacentral:rRNA from 1 species
UACGUAGGGUGCAAGCGUUAAUCGGAAUUACUGGGCGUAAAGCGUGCGUAGGCGGUUCGUUAAGUUCGUUGUGAAAGCCCCGGGCUCAACCUGGGAAUGGCAAUGGAAACUGGCGGGCUGGAGUAUGGCAGAGGGGGGUGGAAUUCCGCGUGUAGCAGUGAAAUGCGUAGAGAUGCGGAGGAACACCGAUGGCGAAGGCAGCCCCCCUGGGCCAAUACUGACGCUCAGGCACGAAAGCGUGGGGAGCAAACAGG